UACAGAGGAGCCAAGCGUUGUCCGGAUUGACUGGGCGUAAAGCGCACGCAGGCGGACGCGCGCGUGGGGUGUGAAAUCUGGCCGCUUAACGGCCAGGCGCCAUCCCAUACGGCGCGUCUGGAGUGAUGCAGAGGUCGGUGGAAUUGCCGGUGUAGUGGUGAAAUGCGUAGAGAUCGGCAGGAACACCCAGGGGGAAACCAGCCGACUGGGCAUCUACUGACGCUGAGGUGCGAGAGCGUGGGGAGUGAACCGG
rnacentral:rRNA from 1 species